rnacentral:tRNA from 1 species
UCCGCAUUGGUCUAGUGGUUAGGAUCUCCCGCUCUCACCGGGAAGGCCGGGGUUCAAUUCCCCGAUGCGGAA